GUUUUAGUUGUUCGUCAGUUCUAAAACUAUAAAUCUAGCCAACUUGACACACCAUUGACAAUAACUACAAAAAUGAAAUAUAGGGAAAAAAAGUCUAUAUUUUCAUUUUUAUUUUUUAGAGACAAGGUCGCAGAAUGUUGCCAAGGCUCGUCUUGAACUCCUGGCCUCAAGCUGUACUCUUGCCUCAGCCUCCUGAGUAGCUAAGAAUCUAUAUUUUCAAAUUCAAUGUGUUUUAAGUCACUUUUGAGCCAGCUCCUUAAACAAACUCUAUACCUACUCAUUAAAAAGCCAGAGCAAAUCUUUCCCAUUACAAGAGUAAAUGAAGUGAUUGAUUUAAAGACUGAUGAAACUAGCCAGACUAUCCCUCCCUAUGACUUGCCUCCAUGGCUGAAAUUUCUGUCUUCUCCACUGGGAUAAAGCAGCAUAUAGUUCACACUAUUGAUUUCUAAUUGAACAUUCACUCCCGUCCUUCCUUAUUAAUAGGGCUGUUUAUUUUUGUUUUCAUCUGCCAAUUCUUUAGGUAACCACCCAAAACUCCAACUACAGAAAGGCAACUCAAUUAGCCAAUAAAUGGGUUCCCUAAUAUGGUAGGAGAUUUAUCAUGCUUACUCUCUCUUUCCAGACAUACAAAAAGAUUAUAUUUUUCCACACCCACCCCCAGAUACCCUCCUCCCCUUGCAGUUGGGCUGGACCAUGUGACUGACUAGCUAUAGCCACCAGUCUGUAGUGGGUUGUGGGCAGAAGUGGUAUGUGUCAAUUCCAGGUAGAACAGUUCAUGGCCAGCGUAAGUCCUUACAGUGUUUACUCUUCUCCAGACUCAAGACCAGUAUUAUCUUGAAAGUAUCGGUAAAGCCUCUCUCGGCUUAACUUCCAAAAAAAAGGACAAGGUAGAGCAGCCUGCCUCCCAUUUUCAUCUGGUUUUAAUAAGAAAUACACCUUUGUAGUUUAAGCCACUGAGAUUUGGGGGCAUUUUUCAAUGCAGUAUGACCUAGCAUCUAGGUUAUGCUAGACUAGAAUAUGCUAGAAUUAGAAUAGUCCUAGACUAUUCUAAUUGAUACACUUGAAAACCAUUAGGACCAGGAUAAACUGGCCCAAUCAGACUGAAGGAAAGGAUUUUCAGUCCAUAUCUGGGGGAAGGAGUUCUCUCUUUCCUGCCAGAUAUGAGCAAGUCAACCUGUAACCCAGAUUGCCAUUGGCAGCAAUCUUGCAAGAGGAACUAACCUGAAAAUGAAGUCAACCUACUGGCGAUGGCAGACAGAUAGAAAACCCUUGCAGAUUUGAUUGAGCUGUGGUCAUACCACUCCUGAAAACUAUUCUUUCCUGGACUAUUAAUUCUACAAAAUAAUAAUUAUGUUUGUUUGUUCCCACCAUAACACUGUAAGCAAAAACUCUAUCUUGUAUAUCUUUAAUUUCAUCUCAGUUCCUAACACAGAUAUGUCUCAAGAAGCACUAAAACGUAUUGGAUAUAGCCAGCAAUUAUGGCUCAUACCUUCACCUCAACAUUUUGGGAAGCCAAGGUGGGAGGAUCACUUGAGGCCAGGAGUUCAAGACCAGGCUGGGCAACCAUAGCAAGAC
rnacentral:lncRNA from 10 species